AUUAGAUUUUUUUCCUUCUCAAUUUUUUAAAUUAGAUAAUGAUUAAUUCUAAACUAGUUGUUUUUCAAAUAUUUGUGAAGGCCUUUGCUCUACUCCCGACUCAAAGUCAGGAAGCGGUAAAAAAAUCUUACAUCUUAACUUUUACUCUCAUAAAAUCACGGUGAUAUUUUAAAAAUCAAGUGCAAAUAAAACAUCUAAGAGGAAAAGAAUCCUGUUAUUCAUAAACCACAGCCCUAAGCAUAAGGUAACCAAAAUUAAUGUAAGUAUUCAAGCAUUCAAAAUUCUUAUUCUUAAUGAUUAAAAAUUGAUUUUUUUGUAACAACUUCUGAAGUUCAUUAUCAAAUUAAUAGGAUGAAUGAUGAGGUGAAUUUUAGACUCUUACAAUAGGAUGAAUUCUUAUUCAAAAUUAUGAAACUUAUGUCUCCUCCAUCAGAACUGUUGCUUUAAGGGUGUGCAUGGCUGUGAUAUUUGGUGUUGGUGUGGGGUUUAAAGAUGGAGUUGGCAAGGCAUCGGAGGUUUUUUGCUGGGUAUGAAGGAACAUGGCUCUAUAUGGCAUAAUUGUAAAAAUUACCCAUGUGUGGAUUGGAUAUCUGUGGUUGUUGUAUGAACUUUUAUGAUCUUCCUUU